AUGUCUGUGCUCUGGGAGGACAGCAGAAGCUUCCGCGCAUCCAGGAGCAGCUGGGGCAGACCGAGCCUAUCAGAGGAUGUGGACGCCUGGGCAGAGUGUUUUUACCCCGAGACCCCUGCCCCAAGUUCAGCCCUGGUUCUGGUUGAAAGAGUCCCAAGGACACAGGAGGCGGAAUUCCCGAGGAGGUCUGAGAAGGUCUUCCUGAGGAAGAGCAAGAGCUGGAGGAAGCUUCCUGAUCCCACAAGCAUGUUCUCGGUCCACGAUCCGGCUAGGCAAGAGGGAAGAUGGCAACAAGCUGUCUGGGUGGCCACAGGGGCCCACGUGCCCUUUCUGGCCUUGGGGACAAGGUCUUCAUGGAGGCGAGGUUUGGGGAGACCGGCCCCACAGUACUGGGGCACCAACUCCCACGUGGGGGGCUGAGUGGGUGAAGCUGGGAGAGGGAGCUCUCCUCCCCUGUGGGCCCUACCCUCAGGGGGUGGCCCUGACGUGGUGUCCAGGUUCCAAGCCUGAGCCAGUCUCUUACCCCUGACCAGGGCUCUGGGUCCUGGUCCUUGUCUGCCCCUGCCCUGGUUACCAGCAACCACAUCUCCCACUGUGAUGGGCUCAGUGAUGUCCCCUCAAGUUCGGUAUUCAGAGUCCUAAGCCCCCAGUAACUCCGAAUGUGAUUGCAUUUAGAGACAGUGUCUCAAAGAGGCGACUGAGUUAAAGCGAGGUCAUUGGGCCCUAAUCCAUGUGUCUGGUGUCCUCGCAGGAAGAGGAGAUCUGGACCCAGACACGAGCAGAUGUAAGACGAGGUGAACCUACACGGAGGGGGUGUCAGCUCUGACCCAAGGACAGAGGCCUCAGAAGAAACCAGCCUCGCCGACACCCUGAUCGCAGACUUCCACCCUGCAGAUUGGUGAGAAACCCUGUUUCUAAUGUCUAAGCCAUCCGUCUAUGGCAGCCCUAGCCAACCCACACACCUCCCAUCAGCCCUACCAGCCGCGGACACGGGCUGUGAGGUUCCUGCGUGCCAGGCUUGGAGCCGGGCCCACUCCGUGUGUCACUUCACUCCUCACUGACCCUGGAAGGUAAAGAUCGGGGACCUUGUCGGGUCAGCCUGGCUCUGCUAGUGUGAUCUCAGCUAAAGUGCUCUGCCUCUCUGGGCCUUACUUCCUCAACUGCCCACGAGCCCCAGAGUAGUACGUGCACCCUAGACUGGUUUUAAGGAAUGAUUUAAAACGUAUGAAAGGGGGCACCUGGGUGGUGCAGCCCAUUGAACCUCCAACUCUUGGUUUCAACUCAGUCAUGAGCUCAGGGUCGUGGGAUCGAGCCCCAUGUUGGGCUCUGCACUCAGUGCAGAGUCUGCUUGAGAAUCUCUCUCCCCUUCUCCUUCUGCCCGCCUCACACACCCCCCCCCCGGCUCAUGCUGUCUCUCUCUC
rnacentral:lncRNA from 1 species